rnacentral:rRNA from 1 species
AGAACGAACGCUGGCGGCAUGCCUAAUACAUGCAAGUCGAACGAACUCUUCGGAGUUAGUGGCGCACGGGUGCGUAACGCGUGGGAAUCUGCCCCUUGGUUCGGAAUAACAGUUGGAAACGACUGCUAAUACCGGAUGAUGACGAAAGUCCAAAGAUUUAUCGCCAAGGGAUGAGCCCGCGUAGGAUUAGCUAGUUGGUGAGGUAAAGGCUCACCAAGGCAACGAUCCUUAGCUGGUCUGAGAGGAUGAUCAGCCACACUGGGACUGAGACACGGCCCAGACUCCUACGGGAGGCAGCAGUAGGGAAUAUUGGACAAUGGGCGAAAGCCUGAUCCAGCAAUGCCGCGUGAGUGAUGAAGGCCUUAGGUUGUAAAGCUCUUUACCCGAGAUGAUAAUGACAGUAUCGGAGAAUAAGCCCGCUAACUCCGUGCCAGCAGCCGC